UCAUAACAAUUUGGUUUUAUAAUAUUUCUAGUGUAAUUGAUGAAACCUUUUCAAGAUGAUUAGCUAUUUGCAAGUAUUCAUAAAAAAAAAUGCUAUUGUUGUAGCUUUAAUGGCUAUGUACGUGUAUGGAAAUAAAAGAAAAUGGAGAAAAUGUCGACCAAGCAUGAUCAAACAGGUAAUGAGAGGUAAAACAAAUAGAUAACUUUGUAUUACACUAAUGUAACGACUUCCACAUGUUCCAUAAAGGUAAAGAAAACAAACAUGAAACGGUAGUAGUUUGUCUAACAAUUUCAAACAUAAAUAAUUGCGUUUAGGUAAUUUUUCAUCUCAUCUCUGGCAUGCAAUUCGUAUCAUGUGAUUUUGUUUGGUCAUUCACUUAAAAGUAUAUCGUAUAUCUAGACACGCAAUUAGGAUAAAGGAGUUUUAGCAAGUGUUAUUUGCACUUAUUUACUAACUAUUUACCUGUAUACAGUUGAAAGAAAAACAUCAUAUCUGAAUUGAUAUUUUGGUCUUCGGAUUGCUGUCUCUUUGUUCUAUCUCUACAUUUGCUUUAUAUCUAUCAACUCGAUGUUGUAAUUUUUCAACUCUUUCAAAUUGAUGUCGUUAAAAUGAAGCAUGAUUUGCAACUUUUAUAAUAGAAAAGGAGCUCCAUGUUUUGAAGAUUGUAGCUGAAAGUAAAGAGGACCAAAUUAAAGAGUUGAAUCAAUCAUUAUCUACAAAAGCAGAGAGAGAGAAACUAACCGAAAUAGAAAAUCAACAAAUUGCAGGGACAAUAAAACUUACUGACGUAGAAAAUCAAUUCAGUGCUGAAACAAGAAAAGUAGAAAAUCAACUACUCAAGUCAAAUGAAAAAGGUUGGGCGCUAUAUUAUGAGUAAUUAUAACUAAUAUACUUUACAUAUGUCUGACCUGUUCAACAUUCUAAUGUAACCACCGAUAGUUUAGUCUUUGUGGAAAAAUUCUCAAACUUCCACUUCAAACGUAUGAAUUUAUCAAUAUUACGGUAAGAUUUUAUUUAAAUAUCAAAUAAGAUUUCGUAUUCAAACUUCACAUAAGAAGGCUAUGCUAGGUGUUGAUGCUUUUUUGCUCAAACCCUGGCUUUUAUAUAAAAAUCGAAAUGCAUGUAAUAAGAUCAUUUUGGUGGUUAAUUUUAUAUACUAUACAUGAGACGAAACUUCUCUACAAAAAUUGAUAUGAAAGUAGAUUGUUCGUAAUCACGGCAAACGACCUCAUGACAGAGUUGCUGCAACGACACUGCAACGUGCAGAUAGCUACAAAACUACUCUUGUAGGACACAACAGAAAUAAUGUCAAUAUUCAGACCAAAUGUGUUUGUGGUUGUGUAUUCAUACAUCACUCACAUCCAAAUGAAUAGAGUUUACCAUAUUCCUCACACCAGAAAAAUCUAAUGGGUCGCUAAAUGGUUGGAUUAAAUGAAGUCUGAAAAAAAUACUUCAAAAGACAUGAUUAAGAGGGAUAAUUAAAUACAACAAGGACAUGAAUAGAAAAAAAAAAACAAAAAAAAACAUUUCUUCACAUUCGUUAUAACAUUUUUUUGGUAAAUGUAAAGUUUAUUUUUAGUUCUCGCUUUGGAAAGGAAACAUGUAGAUGAAAUAAAUGACAAGACGCAAUUAUUAUCAACAAAAGCAGAGAAAAAAGGUUUGAAACUACAAAUUAUAUAAAUCAUUUGUUUGGGGGCAAACCUUUAACGGCAACUUAAUAAAAGAUUAUUCUAUUAACGGAAAAUCAGUUUUUGUGCAAACACUUCUAUUUAAAUUGCUUCAUUCGUGUAUAGCACCGUAUAGUAUAAAUCAUGACAAGACUUUUAACUUCACAAGUUGUUCAAUUUGACGAAAAAUCUCACGUAUAACACAAGUAGGUUAGUUUUGAUCUGAACGGGUCUUAGAAAAUACAGAAAAAUAAGUGUUUAAGUCAAUUUCAGUCUUUCAGUUGUUUUCAGACUCAUCUUGUGCGUUGAAUUCAGUACUGUUCAGACAAUUCGUCUGUUUUAAAUUAAUAUAGAUUCAGUCUAUUUUCAGACUAUUCAGUAUCGCUAUUUACCAGCACAUAACAAGAUGAAACUGAAUUGUAUGAAAAGCAACAAUUUAUUGUUAAAACUUUUCAAAUCAUGUUAAGUUCAUAAUGCAGUUUCAGACUUAACAUUAUUUGCUAGUGUUACAUGUUAUUACGACAUAUUUAUGUAUACUCAUGUUUAUGUUGUUCGUAUUCAACUUUCUUAUAUCAGUAUCAUUAUAUACAUCUUUAGACAUUUAUAACUGUUCUUGUUUGUGUACUAUCGUAAAUUGUAGACGACCAGAUACAUAUUAAAAUUCAUAUAUAUAUCUGCCUGUCUAAACAUGCGACAACUCUAUGACAGAUAUUUUCCCCCGAAAACACGUCGUUACACAGGGAUAACACCAUAAUAUUUAUAUAUAAGUUGAUGUUCAAAACGAAUUGGAUUGAACUGAUCAGAACCUUAACACUAAAAAAAUACGUAUAUGUUUAAUGCAUAUCCUAUUUUGUCUGUUUAUAUUUAAAAACUCGGUGUUAAAUUUACUACAAUUAAUUGCCAAGCCUACUAUAAUGGGUGAUUACCAGGCCUGGGGUAAUGGUAAUUUGUAAUUGUAAUGCAUUGUAAUAUUACUUUUUCUUUAUGUAAUGCAAAGUAAUUUGUAAUGCACAUUUUCUUUAGUUUAAAAUCAAUGUAAUGCCUCCAUUACUGUACAUUACUUUUUGUAAAUUUGUAAAAUACAUGAAAUUGAAGAAUAUUGUAAAAUAAAAAUAAAAUAUUAACAAAAACGAAUGAAAGUAUUGAAUAAAAUUAUUGUCACAGUUAAUUACUGUAUUAAAUAAAUUGCACCAAACGUUAAAACACAUAUUAAGGUAAGAAAUAUAAAAUUGUUAAAAUCAUCAAGUCUUAGUCUUGGUUUCUGAUUUUUGUGUAAAAAGAUAUUGGGAAUAUUUUGGUGGCUGGUGGUCUAUGAAAAAUAUUCUAAAAAAAAUAUUAAACAAAACUAUAUAGAUGGAUGGAAAAAAUAUGAAGAUGAAACUUUCAUAAUUCUAUACAUGUAUUUCAAUGAAAAAUUGAAUAUGUCAAUCAACAUUUUUACACCAAACUGGGGUUUGGGUCCUGUCUGUGUUGUUAUUUUACCUUAUUAAUAUCAAAAUGUUUCUAUUGCAAUCAAAUCGUCUCAACUUAUGUUUGUCCUCAUGGAGCCCUUAGGCAUUAAACAAGAUAAUCCUUUAAUGGCACAUUUAUUAUAUCCCUUUGAAAUCCCUUUUUGAUGUCUUAAUGAUUAAGUGAUCAAUGAUAGAAACAAAAUUAUAUGAUAAUUUAUUUGUUUUUCACCACCGAAGAAACUUAAAAGUGACCUUUUCAGUUUCAUGCCUCCUAGUACUCCACCAAAGAGUAGACACAGGUUUGGUGCAGUACAUGAUUUUGACAUUUACUUGUCAAAGCCAUGAUUGUGCAGAAAUGUCAACCAAUCCACUGGAAUACCUGAAGUCAAAUUCACUGCAUCUUUCUUUAGCUAAUACAGCUAUAUGAAGUAUAUAGUCAUUUCCUCCACAUCAGCUCCUGUUGAAAGGUUUUUUAGUAUAUAUAAAAUGCCGGAAAGGUGUACAUACCUGAUCAUUGUUCUCUUAAUGACAGCAUAUUUGAAACACUUAUGGUAAUAAAGAGCAAUGGACAUGUUAAUACACCAGAUGAGUAUUUGAAGUCUAUGUCUAUAACACUGUAUAUAUAUAUAUGUACAUAUACAUGUACCCCGUUAAUAAUUUCUUACAAAAAUCUGUUUUUGAUUUUUUUUUAAUUUAUAUAUUGAAAAAGUAAUGUGUAAUGUAAUACAUUACACAGACAAAGUUAUUGUAAUUUAAUACAUUACAUGUGAGAAAAAAUGUAAUUGUAAUUGCAAUUGUAAUGGAAGAAGCACAAAGUAAUGCAUUACAUUGCAAUGUAAUGGCCCCAGGGCUGGUGAUUACACGACGGUUCUGCGAUCUUUCUGAAAUAAGUGUUAGAUAAUACAAAGGAUUACAGAUUUGAACAGUUGUGACAAUUAAAAUUGUUUUUUGUAAACUUAAGAAAAAGGGGACCCUCAAGACCAUUCUUAACAUGUGAUGGUCGAACGAUGAGCUGUCGCCUUGGCUUCAUGAUAGAUAACCGUUGACAAAUCAAAUGAAAUCCACUUUGAAAAUGAACAGAAAUAUAGUUCAAAACAACACAUCUGCAGGUCUGAUAAAAAAAGGAGGUAAACAACUAUGAAAAGUACAAACAAAACAAAAGGAAAAUGGAAGCUAAAAAACACCAAUAGUACAUUGUAAAUUGAUAUGUGCAUUACAUGAACUAAACUACUAGAUGUAUACCAUUGUAAAUAUUAAAUAUGAAUGUAUAAAAGAAUGAAUCAAUAAAUGAAUAAAUAGCUAAAAAUAACAAUUCAAUUAGGAAUGCAUACAAAAUCAAUCAAUUAAUCAGGCAUUAAAAUGUGUUUUCUUUAGAAUUCAAACAAAUAUUCGUGUCAUGUAAUGGAAAUGAGCAGUCAACAUUAGACACUUGGAAAAAGCCAACCAUGGGAGGGGAUAUAUGCCACAUGAAAGACUAAUGUACAAACCGACACCUCAGGAGUCCAAUAAUUGACAA
rnacentral:lncRNA from 1 species